AGAGACACUGCGAGCCAACAGGAAGUGUGUAUGCUCCCCAAGAGAGAGGUGAGUUAUUUCCGUUUUCUGCCGGUAUGAAACCUACUAAACAAAUUUGAUCUGAUUUUAAAAAAAAAAGUAAACAAUAGAUAUUUAAACCAGCUUUCAGUUGGUCAGACACUCACUCGCAGAGUCCUGCUUGUCCCGGCUGUGUUUGGAUGCCACACGGAGAAUCAAUCUGCUGACCUGCUUCAUCUUUCUGCUCCAUCACACAACAGGCGUCUGUGUCACAGAGGGUGGAACAGAGUCAGCGACUGACCUCAUGUAUUCUGGGUUUUUACUGAAUCAAAAACAGAUGAUAAAACACAAGGAGGAACUUUUCCAGGACAUUUCAAGAAUGUUUUUUCUUUUAGUAAUAUUUACCAGUUUGGGUUCCAGUAGAAGGAUCGGUGUUGAACUCCACACCGCUCCUCUGAGGGGAGAAAAAGGACAAUUCAGAAACUUUUGUACAUUUAUUUAAACAAACAGGAGCUGAAGUCUAAAAGGAAACAAGUUGAAACACUCGACCUCACCUUGUGGUAGGGGUUGUUGCAGCCGCUGCAGAACUGGUACCUGCACUGGGAGCAGCUGAAGUGCAUGCAGCCGCCUUUCGCCAGAGCGUACUGGUACCUGCAGUGAGGGCAGGCUGCAAGAGGGACGACACAUCGUGGUUAAUCUUUAACUGCCCUGCCUACUGUAGCCUUUAAAUGAAGGAUGGAAACAGCUGUGUGCCUUUUGUGCAGUAGCCGGCCAGGCCCUGCCUCUGGUACUCCGGAUCGUUCUCCCUCUUCCACUGCUGGAACUGCUCACAGGACAGAUCCUGGUGCUGAGGUUCCCACUGAGGCCGGAGAGAGGGAGUGAACGAUAAGUGAGUUACUUCACUG